rnacentral:rRNA from 1 species
GACGAACCGUGCGAACGUUGUUCGGAAUCACUGGGCUUAAAAGGGCGCGUAGGCGGCGCAGUAAGUUGGGUGUGAAAUCCCUCGGCUUAACCGAGGAAUUGCGCCCAAAACUACUGUGCUCGAGGGAGAUAGAGGUGAGCGGAACUUAGGGUGGAGCGGUGAAAUGCGUUGAUAUCCUAAGGAACACCGGUGGCGAAAGCGGCUCACUGGAUCUCUUCUGACGCUGAGGCAGCGAAAGCUAGGGUAGCAAACGGG